rnacentral:rRNA from 1 species
GACAGAGGAUGCAAGCGUUAUCCGGAAUGAUUGGGCGUAAAGCGUCUGUAGGUGGCUUUUUAAGUCCGCCGUCAAAUCCCAGGGCUCAACCCUGGACAGGCGGUGGAAACUACCAAGCUGGAGUACGGUAGGGGCAGAGGGAAUUCCCGGUGUAGCGGUGAAAUGCGCAGAUAUCGGGAGGAACACCAAUUGCGAAGGCAGCUCGCUGGGACGUCACUGACGCUGAGACGCGAAAGCGUGGGGAGCAAACAGG